CUCCCGACUCCGCUUCUCCCUCCGAUGCCGGUAGAUAAAUUCCAAGACCAAACCCAUUGAUUCCAUUGGUGAAAAAAUCGCUUCUGUAUUUGUUUUUCCAAAAACAGAUGUAGAAGAUACGCUAUGUAAACUCGGAAAAAUCAAAAUCAGCCUCCUUUUCUUCUCUACUCUAAGCAGGAAUUUUGUGAACCACAUGGAAAGAGCAAUAUCAGCAUACCUCAAUUUCAUAGAAUUAAACUCUCUUCACGAUGGACUAAUACAGAAGGAUAUGCAUCAAGAUCGACAUAAAAAUUUGACCACAAUUAACACCCACACAACAUUGUCUUGUUAUCUAUAGUUCACUUACUCUAACUUAAAUUUCAAUCUGAUUUGUUGUGUGGUUGAAGGGAUGUAAGAGGGAAAAUGGAUAGAUUACAUGUAGAAAAUUGUCUUUUGUCUACAAAAUUACAUGGUAUCAUAUGAAAAUGUUAUGUGUGAGAAGUUGCAUAUAGUAUUGCACAUGAUAUUUAAUGUACAAAUUGUUUAUUUUUAAAGAACUCACCAAGGGCUUGCUUGACAUUGCUUUUAUUUCUUAUUUUUUACUCUUUAAAAUAAAAUCACAGAAACCGAGACAAAAAAUCUUUUGUAUUAUUAUUUUAUUUUCUUUUUUUAAAUUUGUUUUUAUUAUUUCUAGAAAAAUGAAACUUAGAAAUUUUUAAUUCUACUAUUCUCAAAAACAAUAAACUAGUGUCUUUUGCCACCAUUUACACCACCUCCACCACUGCCACCAUUACUGUUUCCAUCAUUGCCAUCAUCUCCACCACCGCCUAUGCCGUCACUGUCACGAUCACCGUUUCCACCACCACGAUCGUCUCCACCGCUGCCGCCACCUCCACCACUGCUACCACCAUUGCAACUACCACCACCUCUGCCGCUAUUGCCGCAACCCCCACCAGAUCAGCAUUAUCAUUGCUACGCCACCACAUUAUUGGUGCCUCCACCAUUAUUGUUAUUGCCACAACCACUACCACCAUUAUGGUCUCCACUAUCUCUAC
rnacentral:lncRNA from 1 species